CCAACCCCUGUGACAUACCAAUUGUUGCCUCGGCGGAUCAGCCCGCUCCCGGUAAAACGGGACGGCCCGCCAGAGGACCCACAAACUCUGUUUCUAUAUGUAACUUCUGAGUAAAACCAUAAAUAAAUCAAAACUUUCAACAACGGAUCUCUUGGUUCUGGCAUCGAUGAAGAACGCAGCAAAAUGCGAUAAGUAAUGUGAAUUGCAGAAUUCAGUGAAUCAUCGAAUCUUUGAACGCACAUUGCGCCCGCCAGUAUUCUGGCGGGCAUGCCUGUUCGAGCGUCAUUUCAACCCUCAAGCCCAGCUUGGUGUUGGGACUCGCGAGUCAAAUCGCGUUCCCCAAAUUGAUUGGCGGUCACGUCGAGCUUCCAUAGCGUAGUAGUAAAACCCUCGUUACUGGUAAUCGUCGCGGCCACGCCGUUAAACCCCAACUUCUGAAUGUUGACCUCGGAUCAGGUAGGAAUACCCGCUGAACUUAAGCAUAUCAAUAAGGCGGAGGAAAGUUUGAUCCCUCUGCUGGUUCACCUACGGAAACCUUGUUAC
rnacentral:rRNA from 1 species